GGAUAGUAGCAAUAUCUGAAUAGUUCACUGCAUCAAUGGUCCGAAAUGCAGCGAAGAGCGGAUGUUUGACACGACGGGUAUGAACAGCUGACAUUACAUCCUCGAGAUUUCUCCGCAAGAUUGCAUAAAUUACGUCGCCACUUGCAUUGAAUGUUAUCGCUGUUUGGUCGAGGGAAGGUACGCUGCGGAGGAGCCUAAACUUUCGAAGAUCCCAAACCUCGGAAUUAAUAAUGACCUCAUUGCCAGCUGGAUGAAAACCGCCACCACCAUAAUCA
rnacentral:misc_RNA from 1 species